UAGGGAAUAUUGCAAAAUGGGCGAAAGCCCGAUGCAGCAACGCCGCGUGGGCGAUGAAGGCCUUCGGGUCGUAAAGCCCUUUUUGAGGGGAUGAGGAAGGACAGUACCCUCAGAAUAAGCCUCGGCUAACUACGUGCCAGCAGCCGCGGUAAAACGUAGGAGGCGAGCGUUAUCCGGAUUUACUGGGCGUAAAGCGCGUGCAGGCGGAUUGGAGAGUUGGAUGUGAAAGCUCCCGGCUUAACUGGGAGAGGUCGUUCAAUACUUCCAGUCUUGAGUGCAGUAGAGGGAAGUGGAAUUCCGGGUGUAGUGGUGAAAUGCGUAGAUAGCCGGAGGAACACCAGUGGCGAAAGCGGCUUCCUGGACUGUAACUGACGCUCAGACGCGAAAGCUAGG
rnacentral:rRNA from 1 species